ensembl:lncRNA
AUGGAUGCGCAGGACAAAGGGAGGAUUCGCAUCCCAGGCAGGAUGUGGCAUGAUGGUGGUGGGAUGUCAGCCCAGGAAGCAGGUAAGGGCAAGGAUGGGAGCAGGGGCCGUGUGUGUGUGAGAACCCAGCUGCUGCGUCUGCAGGGAGGGUCCUGUCUGAGCGGUGGUAGCCGUCCUGGCUCAGCUCAUCACUGCCAUCUGCUUUGCUUGCUCCAUGCGCAGGGCGGGUCUGGGCGGUCUGGAGCCUGGUGGGUGGCCUGCCUGCUGCACCCUGAGUGCUGCAGGGCCCCGCCCCUGGGGUGCCGAGAGCAAAUGAGCUCUGUGAGCUUAAACUUUUCCCCUGUUCUUGCCUCUUCCUUUUCCGAUGCUUCCUCUGCAGCUGAUCAGCCGGCAGGAGCUGCCAUGGGGCCCUGCUUAGCAGCCCCCCACCUCUGCUGGGCCUCGGGGCUGCUGGCCUUCCUCAGCCCCCUCCUCAGCAUCUGCAGCACCUUGGGCAAGGGCCCUGAAGCUCGUGGCUCCGGGGUUCUGGAUUCUGGACUCCACUUUCCUGUGAAGAGGACGCGAGGGGGCUCCGUGUCGUUCCAUGUGGUGCAGCAGCCAGGAUGGGCUCCUGGAGAGAAGCUGGAGGAGAUCUCGUGGGGCUUUGGCCCUGAGUCAGCGUACAGAGUCAUCCUGCUGGUCCACAGUGGGACAGCCUCUCCAACCUGGGUCAGCCUCGAGGACAAGUUCAAACCAAGGCUCCACAUGCCCAACAUGACGUCCCUUGUGAUUGAGAAUGUGACCUCACAGGACAGUGGGCAGUAUCGGGCUCAGAUCAGAUUCACUGGAGGACUUUUAUCUACCCAGGUUUUCCACCUCACUGUCUAUGAGCCAGUGCCUGCUCCUCAAAUCCUGGCUGAGUCACCGUCCAUCACAUCUGGCUGGUGCAACGUCACCCUGCAAUGCAGGGCCACAGGGGCCACAGAGCAGCUGAACGUGACCUGGGAGAGCACAGGCCCCCCCAGCGAGCUGAAGCAGGGAGGGGCACCAGGACCAGCCCCCAACUCCUGGACUCUGGCUGUGAGUCUACCUCGGAGUCAGCCCAAAGCCAGCCUCACCUGUGUGGUCAGCAACCAGGGGGACCAGAAGAGCGCCACCUUGGACCUGGGUGAUGUCUGUGUCCAAGGGAGGCCUGCCAGGACCCCCCACCCUACCCGUCUUCCAUGUGGGUCCACGUUGUCUUUGGAGAAGGAAAUCAGACUGUGUCACUCAUCCGUGUGCUCUCUGGGACUGACCUCCAGAGACUCCCUGAAGGGUUCAGUCUCAGAUGUUCCUCUGCCCAUGCUGUUGGCCUCACUAGCACACCUCACACUGAGCUGCUUGCUGUAGUUCAAUCUGAAAGUGUCCUGCUAUG